rnacentral:rRNA from 1 species
UACGGAGGGUGCAAGCGUUAUCCGGAUUUACUGGGUUUAAAGGGUGCGUAGGUGGGCAAGUAAGUCAGUGGUGAAAUCUUCGAGCUUAACUCGGAAACUGCCAUUGAUACUAUUUGUCUUGAAUACUUUGGAGGUAAGCGGAAUAUGUCAUGUAGCGGUGAAAUGCUUAGAUAUGACAUAGAACACCAAUUGCGAAGGCAGCUUACUACACAGUUAUUGACACUGAGGCACGAAAGCGUGGGGAUCAAACAGG